rnacentral:rRNA from 1 species
GACGAACGCUGGCGGCGUGCUUAACACAUGCAAGUCGAGCGGAAAGGCUCCUUCGGGGGUACUCGAGCGGCGAACGGGUGAGUAACACGUGAGUAAUCUGCCCUUGGCUUCGGGAUAGCCACCGGAAACGGUGAUUAAUACCGGAUACGACAACUUCUCGCAUGGGAUGGUUGUGGAAAGUUUUUUCGGCCACGGGAUGUGCUCGCGGCCUAUCAGCUUGAUGGUGAGGUAAUGGCUCACCAUGGCUUCGACGGGUAGCCGGCCUGAGAGGGUGACCGGUCACACUGGGACUGAGACACGGCCCAGACUCCUACGGGAGGCAGCAGUGGGGAAUAUUGGACAAUGGGCGGAAGCCUGAUCCAGCAACGCCGCGUGAGGGAUGACGGCCUUCGGGUUGUAAACCUCUUUCAGUAGGGACGAAGCGCAAGUGACGGUACCUACUAAAGAAGCACCGGCCAACUACGUGCCAGCCGCCGCGGUAAUAC